AAUGAACGCUGGCGGCAGGCCUAAAACAUGCAAGUCGAACGCCCUAGCAAUAGGGAGUGGCGCACGGGUGAGUAACAUGUGGGAAUAUGCCUUUUGGUACGGAACAACGUUUGGAAACGAACGCUAAUACCGUAUGGUCCCUCCGGGGUAAAGAUUUAUCGCCAAAAGAUUAGCCCGCGCUAGAUUAGCUAGUUGGUAAGGUAAUGGCUUACCAAGGCGACGAUCUAUAGCUGUUCUGAGAGGAAGAGCAGCCACACUGGGACUGAGACACGGCCCAGACCCCUACGGGAGGCAGCAGUUAGGAAUAUUGGACAAUGGGCGCAAGCCUGAUCCAGCCAUGCCGCGUGAGUGAUGAAGGCCUUCGGGUUGUAAAGCUCUUUAGCCGACGAAUAUAAUGACUGUAGUCGGAGAAUAAGCCCCGGCUAACUUCGUGCCAGCAGCCGCCGUAACAC
rnacentral:rRNA from 1 species